rnacentral:rRNA from 1 species
CCUACGGGAGGCAGCAGUGGGGAAUAUUGCACAAUGGGGGGAACCCUGAUCCAGCGACGCCGCGUGAGUGAAGACGUACUUCGGUAUGUAAAGCUCUAUCAGCCGGGAAGAAAAUGACGGUUCCUGACUAAGAAGCCCCGGCUAACUACGUGCCAGCAGCCGCGGUAAUACGUAGGGGGCGAGCGUUAUCCGGAUUUACUGGGUGGAAAGGGGGCGUUGGCGGUUAUGCAAGUCUGAAGUGAAAGCCCAUGGCUCAACCAUGGGAGUGCUUGGGAAACGGUAGAACUGGAGUGCAGGAGAGGUAAGCGGAAUUCGUGGUGUAGCGGUGAAAUGCGUAGAUAUUAGGAGGAACACCAGUGGCGAAGGCGGAUAACUGGACUGUAACUGACGUUGAGGCUCGAAGGCGUGGGGAGCAAACAGGAUUAGAUACCCUUGUAGUC